rnacentral:rRNA from 1 species
AUGAACGCUGGCGGCGUGCCUAAUACCUGCAAGUCGAGCGAACGGACGAGAAGCUUGCUUCUCUGAUGUUAGCGGCGGACGGGUGAGUAACACGUGGAUAACCUACCUAUAAGACUGGGAUAACUUCGGGAAACCGGAGCUAAUACCGGAUAAUAUUUUGAACCGCAUGGUUCAAAAGUAAAAGACGGUCUUGCUGUCACUUAUAGAUGGAUCCGCGCUGCAUUAGCUAGUUGGUAAGGUAACGGCUUACCAAGGCAACGAUGCAUAGCCGACCUGAGAGGGUGAUCGGCCACACUGGAACUGAGACACGGUCCAGACUCCUACGGGAGGCAGCAGUAGGGAAUCUUCCGCAAUGGGCGAAAGCCUGACGGAGCAACGCCGCGUGAGUGAUGAAGGUCUUCGGAUCGUAAAACUCUGUUAUUAGGGAAGAACAUAUGUGUAAGUAACUGUGCACAUCUUGACGGUACCUAAUCAGAAAGCCACGGCUAACUACGUG